rnacentral:rRNA from 1 species
AUUGAACGCUGGCGGAAUGCUUUACACAUGCAAGUCGAACGGCAGCACGGACUUCGGUCUGGUGGCGAGUGGCGAACGGGUGAGUAAUGUAUCGGAACGUGCCCAGUCGUGGGGGAUAACGUAGUGAAAAUUACGCUAAUACCGCAUACGAUCUAUGGAUGAACGCGGGGGAUCGCAAGACCUCGCGCGAUUGGAGCGGCCGAUAUCAGAUUAGGUAGUUGGUGGGGUAAAGGCCCACCAAGCCAACGAUCUGUAGCUGGUCUGAGAGGACGACCAGCCACACUGGAACUGAGACACGGUCCAGACUCCUACGGGAGGCAGCAGUGGGGAAUUUUGGACAAUGGGCGAAAGCCUGAUCCAGCCAUUCCGCGUGCAGGAUGAAGGCCCCCGGGUUGUAAACUGCUUUUGUACAGAACGAAAAGGUUUCUACUAAUACUAGGAGCUCAUGACGGUACUGUAAGAAUAAGCACCGGCUAACUACGUGCCAGCCGCCGCGGUAA